GACUUUACUCUGGAUUUUCUCACGCUUGACUUGGCGUUACCUCGCCCUUUACACCAAGUCUACUCGCACUUUACUCCGUGUUUACUUGCACUUCUUGUUUGCGAUUCUUCGACUCACACUUUACUCGAGGUGGACUCCAACUUUUCUUCAACUUUACUCGCACUUUACUCCUGGUUUACUCACACUUUUCUCCUUGAUUUACUGACACCCUACACUGGGUGUGUGCACUCUCUCUUCCAGGCCUACCAACACUUUACUCCGGGUGUUUCUCACACUUUACUCCAGGUCUUUCUCACUCUUUUCUCAUUGGUUCAACACAGUUUUCUCAGGGUUUUACUCACACUUUGCACUACGUUUGCACACUCUUUGCUCCGGGAUUACUCUGACUCUACUCUGGUUGGACUCACACCGUACUCAGGUUUUACUCACAAUUUACUCCACAUUUACCAUGCACUUUACUCCGGGUUUCCUCACACUUGGCUUGGUGUUACCACACGCUUUACUCUGAGUUUGCUCACACUUUACUCUGCGUUUACUCGCACUUUUCUCUGGGUUUUACUCCACGUGUCUACGCUCUCUCUGCCAGGUCUGCCCACACUUCACUCCGGGUGUUUCUCACACUUUCCUCUGUGUUUACUCGCAUCUUUCUCAGGGUUUUACUCAGACUUUACACUACGCUUGCACUCUCUUCACUCCAGUAUUACUCCGACUCUACUCCGGGUGGACUCAGACCAUAGCCUGCUUCUACUCACCAUUUACACCUCGUUUACCUCACACUGUACUCCGUGUUUCCUCACACUUGGCUUGGUAUUACCUCAUGCUUUACUCCUGGUUUACUCACACUUUUCUCAGGGUUUUACUCAUCCCCUACUCGGCGUGUGCGCGCUCUCUGUUCCUUGCCUACCCACACCUUACUCUGGGUGUAUCUCACACUUUAAUCCGGCUGUUUCUCACACUUUUCUCCUGGCUUCCUCACACUUCUCUCCGGGUUUUACUCGGACUUUGCACUAUGCUUGCACACACUUUGCUCCAGGAUUACUCUGA
rnacentral:lncRNA from 1 species